CUCCGGUUGAUCCUGCCGGACCCGACUGCUAUCAGAGUGAGAUUAAGCCAUGCGAGUUAACGUAGCAAUACGUGGCGCACGGCUCAGUAACACGUAGUCAACAUGCCCAGAGGACGUGGAUAACCUCGGGAAACUGAGUCUAAACCGCGAUAAGUGAGGAUUUCUGGAAUGGUUCCUGACUAAAAUCUAUAUGGCCUCUGGAUUGGACUGCGGCCGAUCAGGCUGUUGGUGAGGUAAUGGCCCACCAAACCUGUAACCGGUACGGGCUCUGAGAGGAGGAGCCCGGAGAUGGGCACUGAGACAAGGGCCCAGGCCCUAUGGGGCGCAGCAGGCGCGAAACCUCUGCAAUAGGCGAAAGCCUGACAGGGUUACUCUGAGUGAUUUCCGUUAAGGAGAUCUUUUGGCACCUCUAAAAAUGGUGCAGAAUAAGGGGUGGGCAAGUCUGGUGUCAGCCGCCGCGGUAAUACCAGCACCCCGAGUGGUCGGGACGUUUAUUGGGCCUAAAGCAUCCGUAGCCGGUUCUACAAGUCUUCCGUUAAAUCCACCUGCUUAACAGAUGGGCUGCGGAAGAUACUAUAGAGCUAGGAGGCGGGAGAGGCAAGCGGUACUCGAUGGGUAGGGGUAAAAUCCGUUGAUCCAUUGAAGACCACCAGUGGCGAAGGCGGCUUGCCAGAACGCGCUCGACGGUGAGGGAUGAAAGCUGGGGGAGCAAACCGGAUUAGAUACCCGGGUAGUCCCAGCUGUAAACGAUGCAGACUCGGUGAUGAGUUGGCUUCUUGCCAACUCAGUGCCGCAGGGAAGCCGUUAAGUUUGCCGCCUGGGGAGUACGGUCGCAAGACUGAAACUUUAAAGGAAUGGCGGGGGAGCA
rnacentral:rRNA from 1 species